AUAAUUAUAGGUUAUACGUACUUGAAGCUAUCGCAUUCAUAAGUUGAUCUGGAAAAAACAUUCCGCCACCAUCAUCGUCAUCGUCGUACGACGCUAGUCUUCUGAUCGUUGACCCAUAGCAAAACGCGAGCCACAAGCAAAUUAAAAACAAUACCUCUUUGCGCACCAUUUUGAACGUUACAUGCGAUGCGAUCGGUGACCAACGACGUAUUGAUAACACCAGCUUGGGUCAUUCUUUUUUAUAGAAGUGUCAGAUAAUUCAACUACGUGCAAGGCUUUUCUCAGAUGUAAAUACUAAUUAAUUACUAAUGUUUUUGCUUUACUUUGCAGAUAUGAUCGCAGUAUUGGAAUUGCAUUCUGUUUAGUUAGGAUGACCUUAAUUCUAAAUUUGACCCGAUUUCAACGUAUGCUUUCUAUAUUUCACGGAACGUGUUUAUUGAACCAGUUUGAUUAAUUUACUUAGAAGAACACUGUGAAUUGCGCCAUUCCAUAGAACAUUUCGUUGGAGUAUUUACUUAGAAAGCCUUUUUGACGUAGAAACAAACAGUAAAUGGGAACAAAUGUAUUCUUGUUUUUGCCAUAAUAACGCCAAUCUAAUUGAAUUUGGAACAAAAUAGAAAAGAGAUUGUGGUACACAAAUAUACUCGCGAACGCUAUAGCUGUUAGAAAGCAUGUCAUUGGGGCCAAGUAUUCCAAUUCAUCACUAAAAAUUCCUCAAAAAAUCGUGUACCAAUAAAAAAGUUACCAAAAAUAAUGCCAGAAUGAAACUCAUUCUAGCAUCAAAACCAUUCCCUGAAGAACGACCUUCUAUAUGCGAAACAUACAAAUCUAAUUGUAUGAGGUUAUUUUUGUAUUUGUACCGAUUUCCCGAUCCACAAGAAGAGUCACCUACCCCUCAGUUAGAGGCAGCUGAAGGCGACAUAAUUUACGCAAAAAUUGAAUUUGAAAAUUAACACAAGAUACCACUGUACUUUCUGAAGGCAGAUGCUACAUUUGCAAUGAAACUGUAAAAUGCACCAUAAGCAAAUCUAAUUCAAGAAAAUGUUCCAUUCAUACAAAAGACUGGCAUUAUUAAAAAUUCGUCAAUUAGAUUUUUCGAUUUUAAUAGCCCUUAUGGACAUUUCAUGCCUUAACGAGAAUACAAACAUGAAAUAAUUUUUAAUUUCUGAUCGAAUGACACCAAUACCAAGCCUGUAAGUGGUGUAGUUCCGGAGCCUUUGUGAUUCAGACAGACAGACAGACAGACAGACAUGAAAACGAAAAAGUGCACUUUUUUUUUUAAAGUGAGAUAUUUACACAAAAUAGCUAUACGGAGAGGUAUACAGUCAAGGGACCUAUAAUAAUAAACUCUGUAUAGAUUUCAACCAGUAGGUGUCUAUGCUUUAAUUUUCCUGCUUUGUCCAAAUUGGUAUUUUGUAAGCACACUUAAAAGGUAUAUACAGAGACCGUAAUAACAAGUCUCUGAGUAUAUAGCGUCCCCAAAAAUUACCAGUGGGUUAAGGUUAAAAAUUUUUCAAGAAUACCUAUAUACUAACUACCUACGAGCAAAUUCAAGCAGAGAAUAAAUUACUAGUUAACCUGCAGGUAAGGUAUUUUCUUUUUUGUCAUGUGGCCCAUGCUGCGCUACCAACUUAACUCACUGCCGACUUAAGAUUAAUAUUCAAGGGUACGCCUGUAAAUGUUGUAACAGUAACUCUAAAUGUGAAUUUGAGAGAGAGAGAGGUACAGUUUUUUUAGGUUUCAAGGAUUACGGCAGGUUACAUAAUAUAUACAUAGGAUUACAAGGGAUUUUCCAAUAAAUCAUGUGACUAGUGGAAUUUCAAGAGUAAAUCUAUAAUUGUAGUCAUAAUUGGUUUCGGAUGUCUGAAGACGAGAUCUUGCUGUGAACUAGACCUAAGUGGGUAACUUAAUAAUUGGCCUUACCUACUCUAAACCACUGAAGAAGCAGGAGAUCAUUUCAUUAUCGUAGAAAAUGCAUCGUCGUUGUCGUAUAUGUUGGUCACAAGUGGGAUUUGAUUUAGAUUUAUUACCCUAACAAGCAACAAGUAAAGAUGACGAUGUUCAUGGAUAAGAAGCCAUUUUGUGGUUAGUAGUUAAUGAGAAAGGAUAGUAGGAAUCCUCAAGGGGAGAUUUUUUGGGCUUCAUUCGAUCUUGGACAACAAGAUAGUUCGUACGCGGCUAAAAAUAUUAGCUUUAUUUCAAGCACUAAACACGAGUUGUUUCGGGUUUUUGUAAAUAAUUUUGUAAAGUGCGUUGCAUGGUUGUAGUUAAUUUAUAAUUCCUUCAAACCCCUUGAUGUUAUGCAACUUAAAUAGCAAUAAAAAAAUCGUUUUUUGCAUCACAAUGUACGGUGUAAAAAUGUCAGGCACGAAGUACCGGCCGUAAGCUGCAGGGCGGAUAUACGAGGGAUUAGUAAGGUUUAAAUUCAGGCCCUUGAUAUGCAUCAUGUCCAGCCAUGAGCUUCUGGAUAAUUCAGGGUUCAGGAAAUCUGGUUAAGUUCUGGGUGUUUUGAUUUGUGGAAUUUUGAGCUAAGCAAGGUGAGGUAACAGUCUCCUACAAUGAGCCGGGCGCCUUCUUUUAUGUGGUUAGACUGGUUACGUUUAACGUGAAGUGAGAGUAGCGGAAAAGUGAUGUAGGUAACGGCAUCUCACAGUAAGCCGGCAAAUAAUUUUACCAUUUUCUACUACAAAAUGAUAACAUUAAACU